rnacentral:rRNA from 1 species
CUGACACUGACAUACGGGUCAGACUCCUACGGGAGGCAGCAGUCGGGAAUUUUGGGCAAUGGGCGAAAGCCUGACCCAGCAACGCCGCGUGAAGGAUGUAAUCCCUCGGGAUGUAAACUUCGCAAGAAUGGGAAGAAUAAGUGCGGGCUAAUACCACGCACGAUGACGGUACCAUUUGUAAGCUCCGGCUAACUCCGUGCCAGCAGCCGCGGUAAUACGGGGGGAGCAAGCGUUGUUCGGAUUUACUGGGCGUAAAGGGCGCGUAGGCGGUCGUGACAAGUCACUUGUGAAAUCUCCGGGCUUAACUCGGAACGGUCAAGUGAUACUGUCGGACUAGAGUGCAGAAGGGGCAACUGGAAUUCUCGGUGUAGCGGUGAAAUGCGUAGAUAUCGAGAGGAACACCUGCGGCGAAGGCGGGUUGCUGGGCUGACACUGACGCUGAGGCGCGAAAGCCAGGGGAGCGAACGGGAUUAGAUACCCCGGUAGUCCUGGCCUUAAACGAUGAAUGCUUGGUGUCUCGGGUUACAUAGUCCCGGGGUGCCGUCGCUAACGCUUUUAGCAUUCCGCCUGGGGAGUACGGUCCGCAAGACCUGAAACCUC